GCCCGCUACUCGUACCCGCCUGCCGUCUUUGCUCGGUGCCUCAGUCCCUGUCGAUUACGCCUCCUGUGAUCAUGUCUGUGUUUUUUUAAUACGCGGAGGAUAGAUCGGAGAAGGAGAUUGGCCUUCGCCUCGCAGUGACGCCGAACGCCUCGGCCAUGUCGAACUCCGCGGGGUCGACCACGCCGGGCGCCCGGGCGCCUCCCGCCCAGCGCCGAAGGGCGCUUGAAGUCGGCCCCCUUAAACUCCACGGGCCGGCCUUGAACCGCUCCGACCGGAACGCGUCGGGGUCGUCGGCCCAGCGUCGUGGCCGGAGGAACGAGUCCCCGCAGAUUUCCUGAUGUGCAUCCAUUCCAAGAUGAAGUUACUGCAUGCCGAUAGUUUGUCAAUUUGGGGAGCAUGAACGAACUUGAUCUUCAACUAACCGUGGUCGUCACGCCUCAGGAUUUCCAGGAGAACCUCAACUUGUAGCAUCGGAUGGACCAGACCGAUGGCGCACCUGGGUGUCCUGGAGAACGAGCUCGAGCUGGUAAGGAACAUGCUACUGCCCACGGCCACCUUCAUUCGUCAAGGGGCAGUCGCACACAAUGGACUUUCUCAACGUCUCCCACCACGAGGAAGGACUGAUUGCCUGGUGACGAAAGCUUUGAUCUUUGUUUUUUCCUCAGGUUUCGUGGGUGAACAUUCAGCAAACGUUUGUCCUCUGAAUUUGCCCGUGCAGGCUGGAGUACAACUUCCGCAAGUUCAUAUGCCUGACCGCCGGCGAGACGACCGUGGUGACGGAGGGCGAGCGGUGGUACUACCAAGACGUGUUGGAGGCAUUAUCAGUUGUUACUUUUGACAAUCAGGUCCUGUUUAGUUUCCACCUCAUAAAUCUCGUAAAUGCAAAAAAUCUGUCGCA